GAGCGUCAGCUGUUGAGCGCAGCUCAAAGAUCUGCAGCAGAAACACAACAGACACACGUGUGUAUCUUCACUGCUGCAGAGGAGAGAGAGAGAGAGCAAUGACUGAACACAAACACUACAACAACAUCACUACAAACUAAACCAACGAAGCAAAGUCCCUUACAGGAUCAGUGAAGUGUUGUGGACUGUAAGUCUGUUGAACAGAAGCAGAGACGAGUGGACAGACACUGACUGUACUGAUGACUAUCAUCUGCUGCUGCACAGGCUGUAAAGUAUAACCCCUGCUGGACACGGCUCCGGAAGCUCCAGGGGGAGACCGAACUGGUAUCCCCCCUUCUUCAGGCGCGCCUCACACUCACUCACCAUUCACUCAUAUCGCAGAGUUCUGGCUGGCCUUGAACCAGCAACCCCUGAAGCCGUGGGGCAGCGCUCUUACCACAGAGCCACAGAUCUCCAUGUCUGAACACUUGCUGGAACUGAUGUUGGACUGCUGACCUGUGUGUGAGCUGAUUCAAUAAAACAAUAUAUAUGUCAGAUCUG